UCUCCGUAGGUGAACCUGCGGAGGGAUCAUUACUGAGUGAGGGUCUCCGGGCCCGACCUCCAACCCUUUGUGAACACAACUUGUUGCUUCGGGGGCGACCCUGCCGUUUCUACGGCGAGCGCCCCCGGAGGCCUUCAAACCCUGCGUAACUAAGUCGUCGGAGUUUAAACAAAUUAAACAAAACUUUCAACAACGGAUCUCUUGGUUCGGGCAUCGAUAAAGAGCGCAGC
rnacentral:misc_RNA from 1 species